rnacentral:rRNA from 1 species
GAUGAACGCUGGCGGCGUGCCUAACACAUGCAAGUCGAACGAAGCACUUAAAUGGAAUUCUUCGGAAGGAAGCUUAAGUGACUGAGUGGCGGACGGGUGAGUAACGCGUGGGUAACCUGCCUCAUACAGGGGGAUAACAGUUAGAAAUGGCUGCUAAUACCGCAUAAGCACACAGUGCUGCAUGGCGCAGUGUGAAAAACUCCGGUGGUAUGAGAUGGACCCGCGUCUGAUUAGCUAGUUGGCGGGGUAAGGGCCCACCAAGCCGACGAUGUCUAGGGGUUCUGAGAGGAAGGUCCCCCACACUGGAACUGAGACACGGUCCAG